rnacentral:rRNA from 1 species
AUGCAAGUCGAGGGGUAACGGAAGUAGCUUGCUACUAGACGACGACCGGCGCACGGGUGAGUAACGCGUAUGUAAUCUGCCUUGUACAGAGGGAUAGCCCAGAGAAAUUUGGAUUAAUACCUCAUAGUAUUACCGAAUCGCAUGAUUCGGUAAUUAAAGCUCCGGCGGUACAGGAUGAACAUGCGUGACAUUAGCUAGUUGGUAAGGUAAUGGCUUACCAAGGCCACGAUGUCUAGGGGUUCUGAGAGGAUGAUCCCCCACACUGGUACUGAGACACGGACCAGACUCCUACGGGAGGCAGCAGUGAGGAAUAUUGGUCAAUGGACGCAAGUCUGAACCAGCCAUCCCGCGUGAAGGAUGACUGCCCUAUGGGUUGUAAACUUCUUUUAUAUGCAAAUAAACCUACUUUCGUGAAAGUAGCUGAAGGUAGCAUAUGAAUAAACACCGGCUAACUCCGUGCCAGC